rnacentral:misc_RNA from 1 species
GCUUUGCUGCUUCUCCUGUCAGACCAGGCAAAUACUCCUCUCUUACCACUUCUUUAUAUUAUCUCUUCACCUAAUCAUACCCAAGCGUUGUGUGGUGUAGUGUUGUAUGUAGUUUACUUGCUUAAUUGUUGUUCUUAUUUUCUCUUUUUUUUUUCUCAAUUGUUGUUCUUAUUUUCCCACCUUAUAUUCUUCUGUAUCUAUAUAAGAAAUUAUGCUGACCUGCUUCUUGGACAUUUGAUUUUGAGAUAUCCGUGAAGCAACAAUAUGUGAUCGAGAAAACGCUUCUCUCGAAUACGUUUUCCAUAUUUUAUUGUCCCGUGUUAUAUAAAUAAAUCAAUGCU